AGUCGUAACAAGGUUUCCGUAGGUGAACCUGCGGAAGGAUCAUUAUUGAAUUAAUGGACGGAGUUGCUGCUGGCCUUUAUCGGGCAUUGUGCACACUUCGCUUCAUCCAAUUCCUAUACCUCUGUGCACCUUUCAUAGGUUGGUUUGUGGCUCUCUGCCUUGCUGCAGAAGUAGCUCUGACCUUCCCGUGCUUACAUUUAUACGUCUCAGUUUAGAAUGUCUUAUUGCAGUCUAAUGCAUAUAAUACAACUUUCAGCAACGGAUCUCUUGGCUCUCGCAUCGAUGAAGAACGCAGCGAAAUGCGAUAAGUAAUGUGAAUUGCAGAAUUCAGUGAAUCAUCGAAUCUUUGAACGCACCUUGCGCUCCUUGGUAUUCCGAGGAGCAUGCCUGUUUGAGUGUCAUGGUAUUCUCAACCCUCCAAAUCUUUGCGGAAAUGGAUGGGCUUGGAUGUGGAGGUUUAUGCUGGCUUCUAUAUGAGGUCGGCUCCUCUGAAAUGCAUUAGCACGAAUCUUACUUAAUGUGCCUCAGUGUGAUAAUUGUCUACGCUGUGGUCAUGAUGUAUAAUAUAUUUGCGCUUCUAACUGUCCUGUUGUGGGACAAUUUCUUUGACAUCUGACCUCAAAUCAGGUAGGACUACCCGCUGAACUUAAGCAUAUCAAUAAGCGGAGGAAAAGAAACUAACAAGGAUUCCCCUAGUAACUGCGAGUGAAGCGGGAAAAGCUCAAAUUUAAAAUCUGGCAGUCUUUGGCUGUCCGAGUUGUAGUCUGGAGAAGUGUUUUCCGCGCUGGACCGUGUACAAGUCUCUUGGAAUAGAGCGUCAUAGAGGGUGAGAAUCCCGUCUUUGACACGGACCGCCAGUGCUUUGUGAUGCGCUCUCAAAGAGUCGAGUUGUUUGGGAAUGCAGCUCAAAAUGGGUGGUAAAUUCCAUCUAAAGCUAAAUAUUGGCGAGAGACCGAUAGCGAACAAGUACCGUGAGGGAAAGAUGAAAAGCACUUUGGAAAGAGAGUUAAACAGUACGUGAAAUUGCUGAAAGGGAAACGCUUGAAGUCAGUCGCGUUGUCCAGAACUCAGCCUGGCUUUUGCUUGGUGCAUUUUCUGGAUAACGGGCCAGCAUCAAUUUUGAUCGUUGGAUAAAGGUCUUGGGAAUGUGGCACCUUCGGGUGUGUUAUAGCCCUUGAUUGCAUACAACGAUUGGGAUUGAGGAUCUCAGCAUGCCUUUAUGGUCGGGGUUCGCCCACGUUCAUGCUUAGGAUGCUGGCGUAAUGGCUUUAAUCGACCCGUCUUGAAACACGGACCAAGGAGUCUAACAUGCCUGCGAGUAUUUGGGUGGUAAACCCGAGUGCGCAAUGAAAGUGAAAGUUGGGAUCUCUGUCGCGGAGAGCACCGACGCCCGGACCAGAUCUUUUGUGACGGUUCCGCGGUGGAGCAUGUAUGUUGGGACCCGAAAGAUGGUGAACUAUGCCUGAAUAGGGUGAAGCCAGAGGAAACUCUGGUGGAGGCUCGUAGCGAUUCUGACGUGCAAAUCGAUCGUCAAAUUUGGGUAUAGGGGCGAAAGACUAAUCGAACCAUCUAGUAGCUGGUUCCUGCCGAAGUUUCCCUCAGGAUAGCAGAAACUCAUGUCAGAUUUAUGUGGUAAAGCGAAUGAUUAGAGGCCUUGGGGUUGAAACAACCUUAACCUAUUCUCAAACUUUAAAUAUGUAAGAACGAGCCGUCACUUGAUUGGACCGCUCGGCGAUUGAGAGUUUCUAGUGGGCCAUUUUUGGUAAGCAGAACUGGCGAUGCGGGAUGAACCGAACGCGAGGUUAAGGUGCCGGAAUGC
rnacentral:rRNA from 1 species